rnacentral:rRNA from 1 species
UGAGGAAUAUUGCACAAUGGGGGGAACCCUGAUGCAGCAACGCCGCGUGGAGGAUGAAGGUCUUUGGAUUGUAAACUCCUUUUCUGAGGGAAGAGCAAGGACGGUACCUCAGGAAUAAGUCACGGCUAACUACGUGCCAGCAGCCGCGGUAAUACGUAGGUGGCGAGCGUUAUCCGGAAUUACUGGGCGUAAAGCGCACGCAGGUGGCUUCUUAAGUCUGACGUGAAAGCUCCUGGCUUAACUGGGAGAGGUCGUUGGAGACUGGGGGGCUUGAGGCGAUGAGAGGGGUGUGGAAUUCACGGUGUAGUGGUGGAAUGCGUAGAUAUCGUGAGGAACACCAGUGGCGAAAGCGGCACCCUGGCAUCGGCCUGACGCUCAUGUGCGAAGGCGUGGGGAGCGA